AUGCCUUUUUAUUUUAAUAAAAAGAGUAUAUUAGGUUUAACUUUAUAUAUUAUUUUUAUUAAAUUAAGAAUUCAAUACCUUUGAAUGUAAUUCUAGAUAAAAUAUUGAUAAUGACAAAGUUUUAUCUAUAUGUCUUGACCAAAUCUUGUGCCAGCAGUCGCGGCAACACAAGGAAGACAAGUGUUAUUCAUCUUAAAUCGGUUUAAAGGGUACCUAGACGGUGAAUUAGGCCUUAAAUGGAACGUUUUUACUAGAGUUAUAUAUGCAUGAGGACUGUGUGAGUAUUACCAGA
rnacentral:rRNA from 1 species